GACAGAGGGUGCAAACGUUGUUCGGAAUUACUGGGCGUAAAGCGCGUGCAGGCGGCCAUCUAAGUCGGGCGUGAAAUCCCACGGCUCAACCGUGGAAGUGCACUCGAAACUGGAUGGCUAGAGUCCUGGAGAGGAAGGUGGAAUGCUUGGUGUAGAGGUGAAAUUCGUAGAUAUCAAGCGGAACACCGGUGGCGAAGGCGGCCUUCUGGACAGUGACUGACGCUGAGACGCGAAAGCGUGGGGAGCAAACAGG
rnacentral:rRNA from 1 species